AUUCAAAAUGGUCUGGUGCUAACAAUACUUUAAAAAUUAAAUACAAUUAAAAACCCUCAAAUACAGCAUCCUCUUUAAGACAAUUAGGUCAUGCAACUCUUUGGGUAUGUGCUUGAUGACGUAAUGACAUUGUAACAUAACAUGCAGCUCAAAAACUUCAAUUUUGCAUAAUACCUUAUUUAUACCUGCAUUUAAUGAUUAUCCUGAGUUCCUGUCUGCAUUUUGGUCUAACUCCAACACCACCAUUCAUAAGUUUUCCUAUAUUUGUGUUGACCUUUCACAUAAAUCCCUAUUGAGGUAAACUGAAGGAUGUGGUUAUAAUGUGACGAAAUGUGAAAAUGUUCAAGGAAUGAAAAGAUUUAUGAGGCACUUUAUGCCAUAAUAUUCAAGCUCAAAUAUUUUAAUGAAUAGUUUGUUUUUACUAACACAGCUGGACAAUGUGUUAAGAAUGGCCAUGUUUGAUCUAAACUGUUGUGCCUACAUUUAAAGGGGAAAAAAAUUUAAUUUCUAAGGAAGUGAAACUGACUUGUAAUACUUUUUGUCAGAGGGCCGUAGGUUCAUCUCUGAGGACCGAAAGGAAGGAGAUGUCUAUGACACGCUACACUUAGAGACCCGCAGUCAAAACACAGAGAAACUGAGUGUUGGCCAGGCAGCCACAGUGCUGCUCAAGAUCCUGCAGCAAGCCAGAGAGGGAGGUGACCACUCAGGCUGACUGCUUGUUUUCUGGUGUUGUUCCAAAAGUUAUUUGCUGUUCUGUUCUCCAGAACUGGCCGAGGCUUUUUCAUGCUAUUGUGCUUAAAGUUCUAUGAUAUGAUGUUUGUCUCUUUUUUCUCUCCUAGCCGAUGAAGCUCCAGAUGAGAUGUAUUUCCCAGUGUGGAAGAGAGAAUACUUCUGACAUCAACAAUAAUCAUCAUAUUUCAUCAUUUUUGUAUUUGUGUUUGGUGCAACACUGUCAAAAAUCUGCAUUGUAAAUAUGAAUUAUCUCACUGUGUUUAAAAUGAUAUUUUAAUAAACACUUGGGGAUUAUUGCA